GUGGUGACCUGCGGAGGACAUUA
rnacentral:rRNA from 1 species